rnacentral:rRNA from 1 species
UCGGGAAUUUUGGGCAAUGUGCGAAAGCCUGACCCAGCAACGCCGCGUGAAGGAUGAAGUAUUUCGGUAUGUAAACUUCGAAAGAAUGGGAAGAAUAAAUGACGGUACCAUUUAUAAGCUCCGGCUAACUACGUGCCAGCAGCCGCGGUAAUACGUAGGGAGCAAGAGUUGUUCGGAUUUACUGGGCGUAAAGGGCGUGUAGGCGGCGCGAUAAGUCACUUGUGAAAUCUCUGAGCUUAACUCAGAACGGCCAAGUGGUACUGCAGUGCUAGAGUGUAGAAGGGGCAAGCGGAAUUCUUGGUGUAGCGGUGAAAUGCGUAGAUAUCAAGGGGAACGCCGGGGGUGAAGACGGAUUGCUGGUCUAACACUGACGCUGAGGCACGCAAGCCAGGGGAGCAAACG